CUCUUUGGUGGGGACAGAACUGGUGGAUUUAAGAGGUAGUGCUUGAUUUCCUCAAAAGGCUGUUGGUGAUAUUCCUUCUACUUAAAAGUCUGUUCCUAUUUCAACCUUAGCAAUGAGAAGAAAGACUGGAUUUUUCAUGUAGAAUUGGAUAUGAAUCUCCUUAGAAAGUUAAUUUUUCCUAGAAGACUCUGCAGCUCUUUCUUGUUCCGAUGUGGUAGAGUUUCUAUGAUGGAUUUUGCUUUAUUUUUAUCAAUCUCUA
rnacentral:lncRNA from 1 species